CCCUUAGAUGUUCUGGGCCGCACGCGCGCUACACUGACGAAUGCAACGAGCUUAUAAUAACCUUGGCCGAAAGGUCUGGGUAAUCUCCAAAUUUCGUCGUGAUGGGGAUAGAUUAUUGCAAUUAUUAAUCUUCAACGAGGAAUGCCUAGUAAGCGCAAGUCAUCAGCUUGCGUUGAUUACGUCCCUGCCCUUUGUACACACCGCCCGUCGCUCCUACCGAUUGAAUGGUCCGGUGAAGCGUUCGGACCGUGGCCUUUGGACGGUUCGCCGUCUGUUGGCUGCGGGAAGUUCGUUAAACCUUAUCAUUUAGAGGAAGGAGAANUCGUANCA
rnacentral:rRNA from 1 species